rnacentral:rRNA from 1 species
GAAAAUCAAUUUGAUUUGAAUUUAAAAAUUUAUUAAUAAUAUUUUGUUAAUUAUUAUUUUAUUAAAAAUAUUUUUUUUUUUUUAUAGUUAUAGAUAAAAUUAUUUUUAUUAUAGUGAAUUAGUAUAGUGAUAGAAUUAUUUAAAUAUAUGAAAAAUUUAAAUAAUAAAAAGAAAUUUUUAGUUAUUGUACCUUGUGUAUCAGGGUUUAUUAAAUAAGAAUUAUAUAAAUUAAUUUUCUCGAAUUUAAAAGAGCUAAAAAAUUAUAUAUUUUAUUGUAAUAUAAAUAUUUAAAAUAAUUUUUUAGUAAUGAAACGUUAGUCGUUUUUAAAAAUAUCUAGUUUUUUAAGAAAUAAAUUUAAUUUAGUUAUUUAUUAUUUAAUUAAAAUAAUUUUUUAUUUAAAAUUAAGAUAAGUAAUUAAUAUUUUAAGGGAUAAGCUUUAAAAUAAAUAAUUGAUAAAUAAUUUAUUUAAUUUAAAAUUUAUAGGAGUGAAAGUAUUUUUUUAUUGAAGUGUUUUAUAACAAAUUUUAAAGAAAUUAUAAUUUAUAUAUUAUUUUCAAUUUUUUAUUAAAAUUAUUAAUUUAAUAGAAAAAUUAAUGUAAUAAUGAUAAAAUUAGUAUAAAUUUAUAUUGUUAAAAAAAUUAUGAUAUAAAGGUUAAAUUAAGGAAUUCGGCAAAAUAUUUUUCCGCCUGUUUAUUAAAAACAUGUCUUUUUGAUAAUAAUAUAAAGUCUGACCUGCCCAAUGAAUAUUAUUUUAAUGGCCGCGAUAUUUUGAUCGUGCAAAGGUAGCAUAAUCAUUAGUUUUUUAAUUAAGAACUGGUAUGAAAGGUUGAACGAGAAAAAUACUGUCUCAAUUUAAUUUUAUUAGAAUUUUAUUUUUAAGUAAAAAAGCUUAAAUUUAUUUAAAAGACGAGAAGACCCUAUAGAGUUUUAUAUUUUAUUAUAUUAAUAAAAGUUUAAGUAUUUCUUUUUUUUUUAUUAUAAGAAAGUAUUUGGUUGGGGUGACUGAAAAAUUAAAUAAACUUUUUUUGAUUGAUAAAACAUUUAUAUAUGAUUAGUUGAUCCAUAAAUUAUGAUUAAAAGAUUAAAUUACCUUAGGGAUAACAGCGUAAUUUUUUUUAAGAGUUCAUAUCGAAAAAAAAGUUUGCGACCUCGAUGUUGGAUUAAAAUUUACUUUUGGUGUAGGUGCUAAAUAAGUUAGGUCUGUUCGACCUUUAAAAUUUUACAUGAUCUGAGUUUAAACCGGUGUAAGCCAGGUUGGUUUCUAUCUUUAAAAAGUUUAAAAUAUUUUAGUACGAAAGGAUUAAAUAUUUUUAAUAAUUAAUUAAUUAAUAGAAUAUUAUUAAAAUUUAAAUUACUUUGGCAGAAUAGUGU